UAGCUCAGUGGUAGAGCCCUUGUUUGGCAUGCACAAGACCCUGGGUUCAAUUCCCAG
rnacentral:tRNA from 1 species